GCGCAUUUAGUGUAGUGGUAUCAUAGUACCCUCCCACGGUACAGACCGGGGUUCAAUUCCCCGAAUGCGCA
rnacentral:tRNA from 1 species